rnacentral:rRNA from 1 species
UACGUAGGGCGCAAGCGUUUGUCCGGAAUUAUUGGGCGUAAAGAGCUCGUAGGCGGUUUGUCGCGUCGGAUGUGAAAGCCCGGGGCUUAACCCCGGGUCUGCAUUCGAUACGGGCAGACUGGAGUGUGGUAGGGGAGAUCGGAAUUCCUGGUGUAGCGGUGAAAUGCGCAGAUAUCAGGAGGAACACCGGUGGCGAAGGCGGAUCUCUGGGCCAUUACUGACGCUGAGGAGCGAAAGCGUGGGGAGCGAACAGG